rnacentral:rRNA from 1 species
CCUACGGGGGGCAGCAGUCGAGAAUCAUUCACAAUGGGGGAAACCCUGAUGGGGCGACGCCGCGUGGGGGAAUGAAGGUCUGCGGAUUGUAAACCCCUGUCAUGUGGGAGCAAAUUAAAAAGAUAGUACCACAAGAGGAAGAGACGGCUAACUCUGUGCCAGCAGCCGCGGUAAUACAGAGGUCUCAAGCGUUGUUCAGAAUCACUGGGCGUAAAGGGUGCGUAGGCUGUUUCGUAAGUCGUGUGUGAAAGGCGCGGGCUCAACCCGCGGACGGCACAUGAUACUGCGAGACUAGAGUAAUGGAGGGGGAACCGGAAUUCUCGGUGUAGCAGUGAAAUGCGUAGAUAUCGAGAGGAACACUCGUGGCGAAGGCGGGUUCCUGGACAUUAACUGACGCUGAGGCACGAAGGCCUGGGGAGCGAAAGGGAUUAGAUACCCGUGUAGUC